rfam:TPA: Bos taurus chromosome 25, whole genome shotgun sequence.
UCCCUGGUGACUCAGAUGCUAAAGGAUCUGCCUUCAAUGCAGGAGACCUGGGUUCGAUCCCUGGAUUGGGAA